GAUGCAAUUUCUCUGAACACCACCUUCUUCCAUGAUGUGAAUUCUGCCAAAUUGUUGCAUGGCACUCAAACCCUCAACGAGGAGCCACUAGGAGUUGUGAAAUUACAGAAGUCUCAAAAUAGAUCCUGCCUCCCAGAUGCUGGUGGUGGCAUCUCCAACAUCCCAAACCAAGCAUCCUUUUAGGAAAAAGUGACAAACUGAAGUUUAUUCUCUGUUGCAAGAAUCUUCAGCGAUAUGAGAGACCAAAUCCUCUCUCCUAAAAGUUGCCUGCUGGUGUACCUGCUACACAGGCCUUACUGAUUGGCAUGACCUUGGAGAGCAAACUGAUGUAUUAGCAAAAUUCUUCUAGAAACAACAAGGUGUAGUGAGAAGAAGGCAUCCAGCCUUCUCUUAUAAACCUAUGAAAUGAAAGGAGUCAGCUGAAUUUUUAAGCAAAGAAACCAUAGCUAAAAAGUUAUCCAAGAUCACACGGACCCAAAACUUUGCACAAACUUUAUCAGUCUAUCUAUCUGAAAAUCAUGUUUAAAGAAGUCAUCUUGGGCCCACCUGGUGGCACACAUGGUUAAAUAAAGCACAGCACUGUGAAGCUACC